rnacentral:ncRNA from 1 species
CCUUCGCGGUUCGUUUCAGGUGCUCUGCAAUCCUCCCGAUUGGCAGGGUGAAACAGGGAAGCCGGUGUGGGUCAUGCGAUCCGAUCCCGGCGCUGCCCCCGCAACGGUAAAUGAGUCAAGGCUGUGCACGACGCCACUGUGUUUCAACACGGGAAGGCGCGCAGUCGGGGUGACCCGCUCAUGAGCCCGGAGACCGGCCUGAAUCAGUCAAUGGCA